AUUGAACGCUGGCGGCAUGCUUUACAUAUGCAAGUCGAACGGUAACAGGCCUUCGGGUGCUGACGAGUGGCGAACGGGUGAGUAAUGCAUCGGAACGUGCCCAGAGGUGGGGGAUAACGCAGCGAAAGCUGUGCUAAUACCGCAUGUGAUCUGAGGAUGAAAGCGGGGGACCAGGCAGCAAUGUUUGGCCUCGCGCCUUUGGAGCGGCCGAUGUCAGAUUAGGUAGUUGGUGGGGUAAAGGCCUACCAAGCCGACGAUCUGUAGCUGGUCUGAGAGGACGACCAGCCACACUGGGACUGAGACACGGCCCAGACUCCUACGGGAGGCAGCAGUGGGGAAUUUUGGACAAUGGGCGCAAGCCUGAUCCAGCAAUGCCGCGUGCGGGAAGAAGGCCUUCGGGUUGUAAACCGCUUUUGUACGGAACGAAAAGGCUCUGGCUAAUACCUGGGGCUGAUGACGGUACCGUAAGAAUAAGCACCGGCUAACUACGUG
rnacentral:rRNA from 1 species